AUAAAUAAAUUACCAACAUAACUAUGGUUUCAGAGUACUAAGAAGAAAGGCCUUAAAUUAUUAAAUUGUUGUCUAUAAAAUGCUUAGACACGGUAGAAUAAUUAAAUUCAGUUUUUUUGUUUCUUUGAUAUUAUAAUGCCAUAUUCUUUGGUCGUUUUUUGUAUGAAAGCAGGUGUUUUUACCUUGAGUUUACAGAACAGGGAAAAUUUUGUACUUACACGAUAGUAGCCUUCUAAAAUUUUGUUUUGGUGUUCUAAAAUAGGUGUUACUAUGCUAUUCAAAAUUGAAAGAUAAUUUUAUACAAAAAAACUAUAUUACCAAGUAAACUUAAAACUAGUUAUGCCAUAUUCUUUGGUCGUUUUUUGUAUGAAAGCAGGUGUUUUUACCUUGAGUUUACAGAACAGGGAAAAUUUUGUACUUACACGAUAGUAGCCUCUUAAAAUUUUGUUUUGGUGUUCUAAAAUAGGUGUUACUAUGCUAUUCAAAAUUGAAAGAUAAUUUUAUACAAAAAAAC
rnacentral:lncRNA from 1 species